rnacentral:rRNA from 1 species
GAUGAACGCUGACAGCAUGCUUAACACAUGCAAGUCUUUGGCGAAGCUGUGCUUGCACCGCCUAGCCAAGGCGGACGGGUGAGUAACGCGUAAGGAACUUGCCCUGCAGUCAGGGAUAACAGACGGAAACGACUGAUAAGACCUGGUAAAGUCAGGCGGACUCAUGUCCAGCCUGAUGAAAAGAGAUGCUGCAGGAGAGCCUUGCGUCCUAUUAGCUUGUUGGUGGGGUAACGGCCCACCAAGGCGAUGAUAGGUAGCCGGCCUGAGAGGGUGGACGGCCACAAGGGGACUGAGAUACGGCCCUUACUCCUACGGGAGGCAGCAGUGGGGAAUAUUGGACAAUGGGGGCAACCCUGAUCCAGCAAUUCUGUGUGCACGAUGAAGGUUUUCGGAUUGUAAAGUGCUUUCAGCAGGGAAGAAAAAAUGACGGUACCUGCAGAAGAAGCGACGGCUAAAUACGUG